rnacentral:tRNA from 1 species
GCAGUGGUGGUUGAGUGGUAGGAUUCUCGCCUUCCAUGCUGGAGACCCAGGUUUGAUUCCUGGCCAAUGCA